rnacentral:rRNA from 1 species
GACGAACGCUGGCGGCGUGCUUAACACAUGCAAGUCGAGCGGUAAGGCCCUUUCGGGGGUACGACGAGCGGCGAACGGGUGAGUAACACGUGGGUGACCUGCCCUCAGCUCUGGGAUAAGCCUGGGAAACUGGGUCUAAUACUGGAUAUGACUCCACGGUGCAUGUCGUGGGGUGGAAAGCCUUGUGCGGCUGAGGAUGGGCCCGCGGCCUAUCAGCUUGUUGGUGGGGUGAGGCCUACCAAGGUGACGACGGGUAGCCGGCCUGAGAGGGCGACCGGCCACACUGGGACUGAGACACGGCCCAGACUCCUACGGGAGGCAGCAGUGGGGAAUCUUGCGCAAUGGGCGAAAGCCUGACGCAGCGACGCCGCGUGAGGGAUGACGGCCU